AUUGAACGCUGGCGGUAUGCUUAACGCAUGCAAGUCGAACGGUAACAGGCCUAGCUUGCUAGGUGCUGACGAGUGGCGGACGGGUGAGUAACGCGUAGGAAUCUGCCUUAUUGUGGGGGAUAACCUGGGGAAACUCAGGCUAAUACCGCAUGAGCCCUUAGGGGGAAAGGAUGGGACCGAAAGGCCAUUCGCGAUAAGAUGAGCCUGCGUUGGACUAGCUAGUUGGUGGGGUAAAAGCCUACCAAGGCGAGGAUCCAUAGCUGGUCUGAGAGGACGAUCAGCCACACUGGGACUGAGACACGGCCCAGACUCCUACGGGAGGCAGCAGUGGGGAAUAUUGGACAAUGGGGGCAACCCUGAUCCAGCAAUACCGCGUGUGUGAAGAAGGCCUGCGGGUUGUAAAGCACUUUCAGUGGGGAGGAAGAGCUCGGUGCUAAUAGUAUCGAGUUGAGACGUUACCCACAGAAGAAGCACCGGCUAACUCUGUGCCAGCCGCCGCUGUAA
rnacentral:rRNA from 1 species